rnacentral:piRNA from 1 species
AGUGGAAUGAUGGGCCUAAGAUUGCAGC